rnacentral:rRNA from 1 species
GAGCGCGAAAGUCCCUUCGGGGGCGAGUAGAGCGGCGAACGGGUGAGUAACACGUGAGAAUAUACCUUUUAGUGAAGGAUACCCUCGAGAAAUCGAGGUUAAUACUGCAUACGUCCCUUCGGGGAGAAAGAUGGCUUUUAUGCUGUCGCUGAAAGAUUAGCUCGCGUACUAUUAGCUAGUUGGUGGGGUAACGGCCUACCAAGGCGACGAUCAGUAGCUGGUCUGAGAGGAUGAUCAGCCACACUGGGACUGAGACACGGCCCAGACUCC